CGGUGACGACAGCGCAGAGGUCACACCCGUUCCCAUCCCGAACACGGAAGUUAAGCUCUGCUGCGCCGAUGGUACUGCACGGGCAGCUGUGUGGGAGAGUAGGACGUUGCCGGAAUA
rnacentral:rRNA from 1 species